rnacentral:lncRNA from 1 species
GCCCCAUACACGUGAGACGAACAGCUGGGGUGGAACCAAAAAAUCCCCUGCGCCAAAUUGUGCGCCCAGGACAUCGUUGGCUGCCGCACGCGAUCGCUGGUUGCGCGGGCCGACUAUAUACGCCGACGUCGGAGAGAUAUCGGACGAGUGUGCAUCCCAGCCUUUUUGGUGCGUUCCAGUCCAGAUCGUUCUGGCAAGGCAUGGGGAAAUACGGGCAUGGCCGUGGUACACCUCAGUUCCCCACAUUUUUCCUGCUUUUACUGCUGACGUUCGAAGCGACGCGUUGCGUCGGUUUCGGGGACCAACCGGUACUGGGAGGGUGGGUGCAGCAGGACCCACGAGACCCAGCCUUCCUUAUCGCGGCACGCUUCGCCGAACGGAAGGCUGCGAUGCAAGGCGGUCAUCGAUACCGCGUGCUCCGGGUCACGUCUGCGUGGACCCAGGUUGUGAAUGGCAUCAACUACAAAGUGCAUUACACGAGGGGACUCAAGUGCGGACCUGGUGAAAGUUAUAGGAUGUGCGACGAGAAUCCGGGUGAG